AGGGCCCUUUCCUGCGCCGCAGCUCCGGGCGCCCAGGCGCCCCCUCGCCCCCGCGGUGACGCGCCGCCGAGCCGUGGGAAGGCCCUUGGCGGUCGCCGCCUUCACCGACGGCUGGGAGGUCCGGCUCUGCUUCGCUGUCUCGGCUGCCGCGCGCUGGGUGGCCUUGGGCAGGUGCCCUGGGAGGCCCCACGGGGAAGCCAGGAGUCCCUGUCUGUCCCUGGGUCGCCUGGGCGCUGCUGGCCUGUAGAGGCGCCGCUUCGAUGCCCGGGAUUCCGCAAGGGUCAACCCCGCGCGCUCCUGCCUCCUGGUGUUCUGGAGGCAGCAGACACAUCAAGUUUGUCGAGGGGUCAGGAGAUCAUCUCUGAGGAUGAAUCACUUAUGCAGAGACCCGAAUGGAGAGAGGGAAUCUAAGAAGAUCUGGGGAAGAGGAUUCCAGGCAGAAGAAACAGCAAGUGGAAAGCCCUGAGGUGCUGUAUGAGCUAGUGGUGGAACUGCUCCCUCACCUUCACGAAAGGGAAGGCUGGCCCGGGACUGAAGGGCUCGUUCUCAUGUUCCAGCUGGUAGCGCACGUACUCCUCCACGCCCUGCUCCGUGUAGAUCCGCUGCUCCUCGUCCAUGCGAAACAAGGCUCGGGAGGACACAGCAAUGGUGACUGCAUUCUGAGGCUUGGGCUACAGAGGCCUUACAAUCUCAAGAUGCUCUUUGAUGAAACAGAUCACAGGGGAAGCCUUAUUCUGAGGUUUGCUUAAAAAAAAAUCUGUGGCCUUCAAGCUGCUAAAAUGUCCACCUGAUACAUUAGAGUGAGUUGGGUUUUAUUACACAUUUUUAAUUGUUUAAAACAUAGUCUGAAGAAGAAAGAAAAUAAAUUGGAUUCACAUGUGUGCAGACUCCCUGAAACAUGGGGCUUGGGGAAGCUAGU